rnacentral:rRNA from 1 species
AGUGAACGCUGGCGGUAGGCCUAACACAUGCAAGUCGAACGGCAGCACAGUAAGAGCUUGCUCUUACGGGUGGCGAGUGGCGGACGGGUGAGGAAUACAUCGGAAUCUACUUUUUCGUGGGGGAUAACGUAGGGAAACUUACGCUAAUACCGCAUACGACCUACGGGUGAAAGCGGGGGAUCUUCGGACCUUGCGCGAUUGAAUGAGCCGAUGUCGGAUUAGCUAGUUGGCGGGGUAAAGGCCCACCAAGGCGACGAUCCGUAGCUGGUCUGAGAGGAUGAUCAGCCACACUGGAACUGAGACACGGUCCAGACUCCUACGGGAGGCAGCAGUGGGGAAUAUUGGACAAUGGGCGCAAGCCUGAUCCAGCCAUACCGCGUGGGUGAAGAAGGCCUUCGGGUUGUAAAGCCCUUUUGUUGGGAAAGAAAAGCAGCAGGUUAAUACCCCGCUGUUCUGACGGUACCCAAAAAAUAAGCACCGGCUAACUUCGUG